rnacentral:rRNA from 1 species
AUUGAACGCUGGCGGCAUGCCUUACACAUGCAAGUCGAACGGCAGCACGGGAGCAAUCCUGGUGGCGAGUGGCGAACGGGUGAGUAAAGUAUCGGAACGUGCCCAGUCGUGGGGGAUAACGUAGCGAAAGUUACGCUAAUACCGCAUACGAUCUAUGGAUGAAAGCGGGGGAUCGCAAGACCUCGCGCGAUUGGAGCGGCCGAUAUCAGAUUAGGUAGUUGGUGGGGUAAAGGCUCACCAAGCCGACGAUCUGUAGCUGGUCUGAGAGGACGACCAGCCACACUGGGACGGAGACACGGCACAGACUCCUACGGGAGGCAGCAGUGGGGAAUUUUGGACAAUGGGCGAAAGCCUGAUCCAGCCAUGCCGCGUGCAGGAUGAAGGCCUUCGGGUUGUAAACUGCUUUUGUACGGAACGAAAAGGUUUGGCCUAAUAAGCUGAGCUCAUGACGGUACCGUAAGAAUAAGCACCGGCUAACUACGUGCCAGCAGCCGCCGUAA